UACGGAGGGUGCGAGCGUUGUCCGGAAUCACUGGGCGUAAAGGGCGCGUAGGUGGCGGUCCAAGUCAACGGUGAAAGCUCGGGGCUCAACCCCGAGUCGGCCGUCGAUACUGGGUUGCUUGAGCACUGUAGAGGCAGAUGGAAUUCCGGGUGUAGCGGUGGAAUGCGUAGAGAUCCGGAAGAACACCGGUGGCGAAGGCGGUCUGCUGGGCAGUAGCUGACACUGAGGCGCGACAGCGUGGGGAG
rnacentral:rRNA from 1 species